CACUGGCCUGAUUCAGGUCAGUGCUGACACAUAUUGACUGGAUGAAACAGACAUAGAUCCUCGACAGUCUGAUCAGUUGAUCACUGUACAGCAUCUGUCUCAAAGUGGACGUUUCAAUGCAGCUGGCACUUUUCAUGCUUUAGAUGAUGUGGACUCCCUGAACUUUGCCUAUGUAGCAGACUGUGUGUGGUGAGUGAAAUUUAAUUUACAAAUUUAAAACUACAAAUCUUUUUUUUUUCUUUAACUCUAUCUGCAUGAGUUAAGCUCAGUUAAAAUAUCCUAAAUUAACUGCAAUAAUAUUUUAGUCGAGCUUAAACCUGUUCCUGUGCUAAAGAGAUCCACUUUCUGCAACCCAGAUUGCUGUCAUCUUUGGUUCAGUAUUCCAGGUAAAAAUAUACUGACCAGACAACGAUGCAAAAAUGUCAAAAUAAAAAAAGGCAAUAACAAACCUGAAAGAAUCCUGAACAACUGUGAUAAAAAUGUUGACCUAUUUAAAAAUGUGUUGAAGAAGCAUAGCUUUCAGCAGUGUUGGUUGAAUUAUCUCAGUCGGGCAUUAGGGGGCAGUAAUAUCUCAUGUGAAGUACCUAAUACAAAACAUUUCUGUCCUUUCUUGAAUAAAUGCUCCAACUGGUGCGACUCUGGUCCUCUUUGGCUGGUAAAAAUGAAGAAAGCCUUAUGUCAGUAAUGUUGUGUGAAUUUAUGCUUACAUUCUUUUUCCUUAUUGUUUUUUUCCUCUUGCACAUGGAGAAUGCUGAGCUGAACAGAACACAAAGAUACUUCUAAAC